rnacentral:rRNA from 1 species
ACGGGGGAUGCGAGCGUUAUCCGGAUUCAUUGGGUUUAAAGGGUGCGUAGGCGGCCGAGUAAGUCAGCGGUGAAAGACCGGGGCUCAACCCUGGAAGUGCCGUUGAUACUGUUUGGCUGGAAUGAUCCCGCCGCGGGAGGAAUGAGUGGUGUAGCGGUGAAAUGCAUAGAUAUCACUCAGAACACCGAUUGCGAAGGCAUCUCGCGAGGGGUCAAUUGACGCUGAGGCACGAAAGCGUGGGGAUCGAACAG